AUACAUGCAGUCGAGCGAAUGGAUUAAGAGCUUGCUCUUAUGAAGUUAGCGGCGGACGGGUGAGUAACACGUGGGUAACCUGCCCAUAAGACUGGGAUAACUCCGGGAAACCGGGGCUAAUACCGGAUAACAUUUUGAACCGCAUGGUUCGAAAUUGAAAGGCGGCUUCGGCUGUCACUUAUGGAUGGACCCGCGUCGCAUUAGCUAGUUGGUGAGGUAACGGCUCACCAAGGCAACGAUGCGUAGCCGACCUGAGAGGGUGAUCGGCCACACUGGGACUGAGACACGGCCCAGACUCCUACGGGAGGCAGCAGUAGGGAAUCUUCCGCAAUGGACGAAAGUCUGACGGAGCAACGCCGCGUGAGUGAUGAAGGCUUUCGGGUCGUAAAACUCUGUUGUUAGGGAAGAACAAGUGCUAGUUGAAUAAGCUGGCACCUUGACGGUACCUAACCAGAAAGCCACGGCUAACUACGUGCCAGCAGCCGCGGUAAUACGUAGGUGGCAAGCGUUAUCCGGAAUUAUUGGGCGUAAAGCGCGCGCAGGUGGUUUCUUAAGUCUGAUGUGAAAGCCCACGGCUCAACCGUGGAGGGUCAUUGGAAACUGGGAGACUUGAGUGCAGAAGAGGAAAGUGGAAUUCCAUGUGUAGCGGUGAAAUGCGUAGAGAUAUGGAGGAACACCAGUGGCGAAAGCGACUUUCUGGUCUGUAACUGACACUGAGGCGCGAAAGCGUGGGGAGCAAACAGAUUAGAUACCCUGGUAGUCCACGCCGUAAACGAUGAGUGCUAAGUGUUAGAGGGUUUCCGCCCUUUAGUGCUGAAGUUAACGCAUUAAGCACUCCGCCUGGGGAGUACGCCGCAAGCUGAACUCAAGAAUUGACGGGGCCCGCACAGCGUGGAGCAUGUGGUUAUUCGAAGCACGCGA
rnacentral:rRNA from 1 species